AACGAACGCUGGCGGCAGGCUUAACACAUGCAAGUCGAACGCCCCGCAAGGGGAGUGGCAGACGGGUGAGUAACGCGUGGGAAUCUACCCAGAUCUUCGGAACAACUGAGGGAAACUUCAGCUAAUACCGGAUACGCCCUACGGGGGAAAGAUUUAUCGGUUCUGGAUGAGCCCGCGUUGGAUUAGCUAGUUGGUGAGGUAAUGGCUCACCAAGGCGACGAUCCACAGCUGGUCUGAGAGGAUGAUCAGCCACACUUGGACUGAGAUACGGCCCAGGCUCCUACGGGAGGAAGCGGUCGGGAGAAUUGGACAAUGGGCGAAAGCCUGAGCCAGCCAUGCCGCGUGAUUGAUGAAUGCCUUAGGGUUGUAAAGCUCUUUCAGUAGGGAAGAUAAUGACGGUACCUACAGAAGAAGCCCCGGCUAACUUCGUGCCAGCCGCCGCCGUAACAC
rnacentral:rRNA from 1 species